rnacentral:rRNA from 1 species
AUACGAAGGGUGCAAGCGUUACUCGGAAUUACUGGGCGUAAAGCGUGCGUAGGUGGUUGUUUAAGUCUGUCGUGAAAGCCCUGGGCUCAACCUGGGAAUGGCGAUGGAAACUGGGCGACUAGAGUGUGGCAGAGGGUAGUGGAAUUCCUGGUGUAGCAGUGAAAUGCGUAGAGAUCAGGAGGAACAUCCGUGGCGAAGGCGUCUGCCUGGGCCAACACUGACACUGAGGCACGAAAGCGUGGGGAGCAAACAGGAUUAGAUGCCCUGGUAGUCCACGCCCUAAACGAUGCGAACUGGAUGUUGGGUGCAAUUUGGUACGCAGUAUCGAAGCUAACGCGUUAAGUUCGCCGCCUGGGGAGUACGGUCGCAAGACUGAAACUCAAAUGAAUUGGCGGGG